AAUUUCCAUCUGCCACGGGACCAGCACCAGUCGGCCUCUCUCAGUCCAUGGGGAAUCAAGGUUCUAGACAGGUGGGCAUGGAGUUGGUGAGAAAUGACAAACAAUUACAAACACAAGGGAGUGCUGUAUCUGGAUGCAAUUUGUCAAAUUGAGCACCAGUCUUAUAUUACAGACAAAAAACAAGAAGGCUAGGCAAAUACAUUUGCCAAGGUACACUGGUUCUUACACAAAACAAAGAAAAUGCACACAUAAAAAGAUUACAGGAGCCAGGCAGUGUUUACAACUGAGAGUAGAAACAACCCUUAAUUAAGAUCAGCUAAACACAGGAGCCAGGUGAAUGCUCUGAUACAAUGCUAGUCUACUGUUAAACCCACCACCAGGGGUCCUUUAGUAAAUACCUGAUUAUGCUAUUCCUCUGGGCCUAGUGAAAAACCUGUACCAGGGGAAUUCCAUUCUACUAACCCUUUCAUGAAUAAUACUACAACCCACCUAUUUCCUAGGCCAUUGUGUAUUCCUGUGUUUGGGCGUGACUCGGCUAUUGUCCUAAGUAAUUACUAUGUAUACUAGCCCUGAACUUUUCUAGCUCUGUUCAAGUAGAUUGUAAUGUCUGAUUAUUUUCACUGUCUCUACUAGAAGUGAAUUUGAAUGUUACUGAAUAGGUAACAUUCUUACUGAAUUCCAAGCUCAGGGUCAACUUCAAGGACUUCCUAGGACAUUGGAACACUGUCAAAGGCUUAGCUAUAUGUCAAAAUCAAUCCUUAAAGGCACUUAUAAUAAAACAAUACUGAAAGAGAGCACAUGGAUCUAUACACCAGACUAACGCAGGGAUAGGAUUUGCAUGUACGUGCUAUGGGAAUGCCAAGGUUCCAGGAGGCUAAGUUUUCGUGAAACUCUUUGCCUUGGGACUGCUUCCAGGUUUCUAAACCUGUCAAGCAGACUUCAUUGGAGUGGGUAUAGCAUUCAUCCAUUUCUGUAAGCUCACUUCUGAGACCAGACCAAUGACAGCCCAAGCAACAGCCAUUACUUUUAUAAAUGGUGCUCAAACUUUAUGAUUUUAAGUGCUAUCUCUUAUUAUAUGCAUCUUGCCUCAAUGUCUGGACAUGCCAUUUCUAAAGAAAUUGUUAAUUUUUAAAUCAUUUCAUUUUAAUAAGAGGAAUAUUGGCAGUGGGAAAAAGUCUUCAGAGAAUCCUAGGGAAUGAGGAUGGUAAAGAGCCCAGAAGUUCAGGUUCAAACUCUAAAUGCAAGGAGGGAGACACAUUGGGAGAGUGGCCCUUUUAUCAGUCUUGGGAACUCAGGUGUGGUGGACUCCAGAGUGAUCUACAGUGCUAAGAUGAGGCCAGUGCCACAAAUAGCAUGUGCAAAAGGGCAGCCCUUGUGGACAACAAAUUUGUCUUUGUAUUUCCCAUCCUCUUGAAAGAUUUCACAGAUGUUCAUACCAGAGAGCGCUAGAUGCUACAAAACUUUAUGCCUCUUACAAAAUUCUAGCCCUCUCCCAGUGCCUGGAUCCUUGCUGUCUUAGUAUUUGAUAAAACUAUUCACAGUAAAUUCCAUUUAGAGAGCAAGUAACCUCAUUGUGUUCUUUGGGUGGUACUUUUAUUUGAUAGAUGGGCUUUAGAAGACAAACCUAAAGUCAAAGAGGAUGAAAUUUUGGAAAAUUCAGCAGGUGUUGCAGGAGACUAGGGAGAAGUUUGGGGCAAGAAAAGCCCAGUGCUACUCCUGACGACUGUCCCACAGUGGCCAUCUGGUCACCCUGGUUUUAAAGCUCUGCUCUUUUGCUGUGGAUCCAUUAAAGUUAAUGUGAAGUGUCACCUACAUUGCUCAAAAGGACUCACACCUGCAUUUCCUCUUUUGCUACCCACUUCUCACGAUCAAGCUUGAUUGAUUAUAUUACUUGAUUGGAAUAUCUUAAAAGAAUGCAAAGGCAAAAGCAACCAUAAUGACCUAAUGGAUAUUUAAAGAUGUAAAAAACAACCUUCCUCCCCAAUUUUACCAUUCUUUAUUGCUGAAACCAUAAAGUCUUCCUAGAGUUUAUCAAAUAGUAGAAUGAAGUCUUUUUCAAAAGGGUAAGGUACUGGGCACCUAGGCUAAGGAGGCUCUUCUUUAGGUAUCUCAUUCUUGUUGACAACUCAUUCUUCCCUCUCACUUUCCCCCCCAUAUUACUCAGGACGAAUGUUGCCUUCUACUUCACUGCCAGCCCCUCUCAACCUCAGGUAAGUAAAGGGUUCCCAUAGUUACCAAGAGCCGACCUGCUGAUGCUGCACGCAGAAACCAUGGGACAGGGAGAGUGACCUCAGCAUGAGUUAUUAUCCUGGAUUUUGCAUUAUGUCCUCUUGGUUGUUACUCAGAUCUUGAACACAGCAUUUAAUCUUACCACUUUUAUUGGGAUAAAAUAGGAAGCAUGCUCGUGUUCCUAGGUGCCUACGUCAUUGAGUGAAAUCACGUGUCUGAUAUGUCUCAAGGGAUGUUGGAUGGUCCUUGGAUCAUACUAAGUGCUGUGGGAAGGAUGAGCAGAGCACAAACUCGGGGAUUAUAGACCUGGUAAUUGAGGUGGGGUGGUGAGACAGAACAUGGAAGGACAGCAAGCAUAUGCAACAGCUGUUCUGAAAAUAUAAAAAUAAGACAGAGUCCCAUUCCUGCCGCAAUAUUGGCAGAUUGGAUUUGUGUGCCCUGUCAGUAAAAAUAAUUAGCUAUUUUUAUGUGUUCCUC
rnacentral:lncRNA from 1 species